GAAUGGAAAGUACAGACCACUACAUUGAGGCCAUUUACCGAAUACCACGCGACAUAUUAAUUCUUAAAAAUGGAUCCGAACUGACACUUCCAGCCGAAAUCACGAUUUGAUUAGUGAUGAUCCUAUCAAACAGUGAUACGAUUAUAGUGAACUAUUCAAAAGCAAGCCAGGAACAAUUCAACAUCAUGCUAGUGAAAAUCUGGACAAAAUAAGACAUUUCAUACUAAACACCUACCUGGGGUACAUGAUGUUCAUCUAAACUUUUUUGUGAAUAAGGAAUCUACAAGACAAAGAUAUGUUCUCAUCACAUUUAUGUGAGCAUUCUCUAGUAACAACGUUAAGAGUCCCUGUGAUUGACACCGACCUUUCCGGAUGUACUGAAGAUGAAUCGAGAACGGGUCCCUAAGACGCAGGAGACUCGACUUCGAGAAGGAUUCACUCUCUUGUGUCCCUUUCCUUUCGCGAUCCUUAGCGGUUUUUGGAACGAUACUGAAAUGAUAGCUCAAUUACCACUGUGCUAUCUGAUAAAAUGACUGAAUUUCUAGGUAUCUUAGUUCAGUAGCUUGUCAAACUUACUUUAGUAUUUAGUCGGUACGUGUUAUUGAUUUUUAUAUGCUUGUUUCUUGCUGAUGAGCUAAAAGAGUCUGAUACUCCAUUCAAAAGGUAUUCGGUUUAUUGUGCUACUUGGAUAGAAUAUUUCUCUUAUAGUAAAGUUAUCAAUAACGCAUGGAUAGAGAAUGAAAUAAUUUAUUGACGUUCAAUUUUACUUUUAUACAGUUCGUACACGCAGGAUUACAUUGGCAAGCUCAUUAUUAAUUGGAGAAAAUUAGGAUGAAACAGACACAGCGGAUGCAGAGGCGGAGACGCCACCAGUUGCCUUAUAUCCAGUAGGAGCGAAUCCAGUCACUUGAUUCUGAACUGGAUUUCCAACAAAUCCGCCCUGGAGUGGGAUAUUCAUGUUGAAGAUUGAGCCGACACCGCGGUGUGGAUCGGCUGCAGAGAAGUUUACCUGAUCUGGGAAGGCAUUGUCGUAACCGUAUGAUGGGCGGCUGUUGCUUCCGGCCGGAUAAGAUCCAGUGUUGGAAUAACCGGUCCCGAUUUGCUGACUGUUGGGAUAGGCAUUCAUAUUUUGCUGGCCCUGAUUCCAUCCCUGACGAACAUCGACAGACUCGGUGGUGGUGGUGGCGGCUGGGGUGGACGAUUCAGUCGGUCGGGCACUGACAGCGUAAACUGACACCAAAAGGAUAACCUGGAAAGGUAAGUAAAUUUAUCGUUAGCAAAUUGAUUACAAAAUUAAAAGUAGUGUGAAAUUACCAAAGUAUUAAGUUGGUACAUCUUGUAGACUUUUAUUUGCUUGUUUCUUGUCGAUGAGCUGAAAAGAGACUGAUACUCCAUUCAAACUCUUCUUGGCCUUUUAUACCAAAAUCGGAAUAUGCAAAAUGCUUCCCCUCAGGGCGUUCACGCGUGUUUUUUUUCUUUUUACUGAGCCAAACCGGUUUCUUCUUGUUGCCUUGCGUGUGCGUAAUAUUCUUUCGAUUUGGGAUUGCCGUCAUCGCUUGGGAUUUUCCAAAAUGACGACGGCUAGGCUUCAUAGAAAUCUCAACGUUUUUAUUUACGGUAAGGCCUCACUUGCUUUUGGGGGUAACAUCGAACAGUUGAAUUUCAAAUUUUACCUUUCUAUUUGUGUAACAAUUUUAACGUACUGUGAAUAUCUGAUCUUUUCUUAUUUAUUCAACAAAAAUAUUUGAAUUACAGAACAUCAUCCUGAACUACUGUCCUCACCCUCUUUUACCAUACGAUCCAACGAGGAUGGCCACCAAGCUGGGGGUAAGCACAAUUUACGUUAUUCUAAACACCAAAAACAUUGAUGAAUAGAAAAUCCAACUUGGUAUACGAAAUCUUUUUAACUAUAAAGCCCGCCGUAACUAUAUGAUUGUAGCCAACGCCUUUAUCUCAAAAAAUUUGAAUACCAAGAAAAUUGCGUAAGAAGUGAGAUAAAUGAAAAUGGGUAGCUCCCAAAAGCCCUCCAUCUUCCCCGGUUAACAGUUCGACGAAUCCAAUUCAAGGCCGUUUGAUUCAUCCGACGACAACCCUCCUUCUUGUUCUUGUUUAAAUAUUCUUUCUCCUGGAACAACAGGCACUUGUUGUUUUUUUAGCUCCAUCACCGUGUCCCGGGCAUCAUUUGGCAAUUGCUCGGCAUUGACAACAAACUGUCCCUCAAUUUUGCUCUGCUUUCCCGACUGUAGUUUAGUCUUGUAUGCUCUCUUCCUUUAAUUGUAUUUCUCCAACGACCGGCCCACCCUUGACAGUCUCUUUCUUCUCGUUUGGAUUGACUCCAGUCACGUCGCUUUAGUUUCCCAACUGGCCGCGUUUAACUGUUGCACUGUUACUCUGCACCGUGCAGGGUAGAAGGCUAAAAGACGAGUGAGUUUGACAAAAAAAUGACCGCGGGAAAUAGUACAUGUUAUCAGUUUCUACAUCGGCCCGCCCAUUUCCUCCACUCAAAUGCAAGGAAAUCUCUAGAAUCCCUCCCAAAGGAAAAACUAGCGAGUUUUAGGUGGGUAUUCCCGAAGCUAAUAAGUUUCUCUUUCUUUUUGAAUUGUGGACUGCUGCAGACGCCCCUCCCUUCCUUGCGUCACGAGGGAGGUCCGAAAGCGAGUUCUAAGUUUUGUCGCUGGCCUUCAGCUGAUGCGCAAAAUGCAUGAAUCGCAUGUAUACGGUUGAAAAUUAAUUCAAAAUGCCGGAAACUCGUUCGCCUUGUAAUUCUGAUUUUUUUUCCUUUGUCCCUUUCAAUUGUAUUUAUUAUAAUUCACUAAAAGUUAAAUAACUUACUACAAGGCCAUUCGUCUGUGGCGUCUUAACUAGAUUUAGGAGAUUCAUCAUUCAAGUGUGUUUUGUCUUCUUGUUAUCAGAACAAGCGCGAAGUUUGCGUUCGCUUUUGCGUUCAAGACGAUUCUGCGUUACAAUCACAAUUUGCGAAAUAAUUAGAUGCUGGCGAAAAUUGUUAUAAGGACAUCACUUUGCUUUAAGCCGAACAAAACGUACGAAGAAGGUACGGUGGUAAGCUUCCCGUGGGAUUUCUUUUAAGGCGUUGUAAUAUUUGAAACAAUUUUGUAAUUCAACUUCGAUCAAGAGCUAUUGAGAAUUACAGUUGACUCGCGACGGUUAACAAAUUUCGUAUCUCUAUUUGGGCGUUGACUUUAAAUUUUCAGACAAAUUGAUUCAAAUAAUUACAAACUGAAUGUAACUCCCCAUCCCCAUUAUGUGCCUGUAGAUGAAAACACUUUGAUUUUGUUGUUAGCCACUACUGGACACAAUAAGCCGAGUCCAAAAUACUUCUAGUGAGCGCUAACAAUAAAACUAGAUAUAGGCCUAAAGCUGAAUUUUAACUUAUCGGUAUGGUGGGAGUACGAUAUAACAUUCUAAGCAGGAAAAAGAACAUCAAAUUACCAGAAAAUGAAUGUAUUCAGCGUGUUAAAUGAAUUCAAGCGAUUUUUCAAGUUGAAAUCAGUUUUUGAUUACGGAUAUUUGUAGCCGACGGGAAUGACAGAUACCAGCCGUGCAAGGAUUUACUGGAGAUUUUUUAAAACAUUGGUUUAAAAAACAAAACAAACAAUUUGAUGAAGUUGAUAGUUGAAAAAGUGGAAGUUUCUAAUGAGCACUAACAUUAUGGUUAGAUAUAGGCAUAAAGCUGGAUUUUUAACCUAAUCAGUAUGGUGCGAGUAAGACAUAAUAUUCUAGGCAGGGACAUUAAAUUGCCAGAAAAUGAAUGUAUUCAGCGUGUUAAUUGAAUCAAGCGAUUUUUCAAGUUCAGAAAUCAGUUUUUUUAACGAAAAUUUGUGACCCACGGGAAUGACAGAUUCAAGGAUUUACCGGAGAUUUCUUUAAACCUUUAAACAUUGAAUAAAAAAGUCAUAGAAUUGAUUUUUACCCUCUCGAAAUGAGCCGAUUCUUUCCCUUGUUUAUAGGGUCUUUUUCUUUGAUAAUUUUUACGUCUCUAAUUUUUGUUCGGGCCCAUCGAAAGAUUUUAAGUGAAAAAAAAAAUCGUGUUUGCCAUUCCCCCCCCCCCUCUUUUGUCGGUAACACUUGUCGGUUGCGUCCUGAAACGAUUUUCGAUUAGAAAUUGACCCAAAAUGUGAUUAAUUAUAUCAGUGAAUGAGAGACGAUUUUUAGCUACCGUUAACAAUCCAUUGGCGGCCGAUUUAGGAGAAGAUUAACCUUACAAUGUAACGGAUACAGGCGCGACAGAGGCGAAAAUAGUAGUGCUUGUUUGGCAUCCGACGGGAUAGUGACGAGGAAGAGUGGCGUGGCAACACUCGACGGCGAGGGAAUUCUUUACUGGGAAUAUCCGGCCAAGUUUGGUGAUGGAUGUCGACAUCGGAAACGUUUACCUCAUAGGGGACGGCGUUGUCGUAACUCCGCCAUCCGUUCGACGGACGGCUGUUGUCAAUUCUUCCUUCCGGAUGGAAUUCAGAAGCAACAGGAACGAAAUAACCGGUUCCAGUCUGCUGUUCGAUCCCAUAAGCGUUUGGCUUUUCUUGAUUCCAUCUGGGACGGAUACCGGCAGAGUCGGUGGAAGCCGGAAUGAAUGAUUCCGUUCGGGCAGCAUCAGUAAGGCAAGCAUAUAGUAAAAGAGCAACCUGACGAAAAAACUAAAUAUUAAAUAAAUUCACGGACUUGACGGCAGUAGUGCGCCACAGGUGAGACCUUACCUUUAGAGUGUUGAUUUGGGACAUGUUGGCAUUGCUUGGCUUCUGCUUUCCUCUUUUCUGCGGCUGCCAAGAUGACUGAAGCUGAAUCGAAAGUUUCCUCGGCAGUUAUAUAACCGCACCCCAGCAGCGCAGUUAACGAGCCGCUUGUGAUAGUUUGUUAUAUUAAUAGUCAAGCUGGUUCAUUCUGGUAGUUUAGCCGACUUGUUUCCUGGUUGGGAAUGCCCACGAUACUUAUCCUCCAAACACCAAAAUCAGCAAAGGCCAACGAUAAAUUGAACGCUACACUGGAUUGGACUGGGAAAUUUAUUUUGAGUCAUCUAAGAAGUCUUUUCAAGGUCGUAUGCUAGUUAGACCAGUAGUAAUAAUGGGUGCCCCCUUUCGACAAAUACUUCUACAGUAAAAAGAAAGCACUUCCUUAUUACAGCAGUCGUACCAAACAUACGCGAAUAUGGAAUGCUUUAACCAGUUUAGUCAAAUAAUAAUUCUAGAAAAGUGUAUGAUAAAUUUCAUCGUUUUUUUUUUACUGUGAGGUUGUUGUUUUCACGAUUUACAGCGAUUAUUAUUUCUUUAAUUCAAUUUAUUCAAAUUAAUAAAUGCACAGUCGGCAAUGGCUAUCAGCAAAAAAAAUCUGGGAGAAACAAGUUAAUGAAUUCAGAAAACUGAGAAAGUUGACAUGAGUACAUGACCUAAGUAAGGCAAAAAUGGAUAUCAAAGAAAUGGGAUAUUUUUACCAAAGAAGGCCGCGCUAAUAUUAUAUUUAAAACGUACUUCCGUAAGUCCGUAACAUUUCCUUUGAAUAAAAUUGCCUUAAAAAAAAUUUUUUUAAAUAACGCGCGACAAAUAUUUUGAAGUUGCAUUUGGAAAAUUGGCAACACAAGUAACGAUUCAAAACAAAAUGGCCACGGUUAAUCCAAUCACGAAUCAUUUCUGCCGGGAUUUAUAUGUUAUACUUGUAAUUAAAAAGCAUGGUGAAGUCGGUGAAGUAAGAAUUGUAGAAAAGUGAAAUAAUGGGAUCUUGAGAUGGUUUUACGACUUAAAGCUGUACGGCAAGCAGGAUAUAAGCAAUAAAUAGAAGUAAAAAGUUCGAAUGGACUUCACGUCUCUUCAUCGACCACCUUUUAUCAGCAUUUUAACUUGUUGAUGAAACCAGUCGACUGUUCACAAGCCAGUCAAGAGUAAAUCAGUCAUGCACAAGAAAAUCUGGGAAGUGUAAUAUAAAAAACUUUAUACCCAGCACCAGCACCUAUCUGUGGCACAUUAUGUCAUUAAACUUUUGUUCUGAGGAUAAGGAAGCUACCGAAGCUACAAGGGGCCAUACUAAAUUCAUCACAUUAACCAGGAAAUCCUGAACAUGCGUCAGGGAAGAAAAUUAAAGUUUCUAAGUUGGAAAUUUUCUGAAACCUUUUUCUGCAUUUGCAGCACCUGUGAUUGGCACCAACCUUUCCGGGUGUCAGUAAACACAAAACACACAUUAAAAUCGUUCUAAUCUAAUGGCAGAUACUAGCGAUGAAUACCAAGUCCCGACAUAGGCAACGAAACGGAUUCGUCCACAGUAUCUAUAUCAAUGUGGCUUCAGCUGCCAAAUCCAUCUUCAGUACAUAUCGCCAGACCUAAUCUUUAGUAAACUCCCAACUAAACUCAUAUAUUUAUUAUUCUUCAGCUGACAACACGUUGACAUGAGUUGAUUUUGAUAGGUGCCGCUGAGGUCUGAGGGAGUAGACAUUUCAGCAGCCGGACAGCAGCGCUUGGGCAUGGAGAUAGAUGUAAGGAAAAAUACCCAUUCGGUAAGGGUGAGGCCAAUCUGCAAGUUAUUCUAAAAAUUGUUAUAUGGAUGCAUCGGAAAAGAAAAACAAACUGCCGCCUCACGAAUUUUACCUGCAAGGCUGCAACUACGCGUGAAUUCAUUCAAAUGCAACACACCCCACACUCAACCCACCUACCUUUUCAGCUCAGCCGGCUCAGCUAAUCAACGCCACGUUCCUUUAUUUGGUGACAGCCCAGUCGAAUGUUAGCUGCAUUACGAUUAAAAAGAAAACACAAAUCUGAAAUCCCCAACAACUUAUCGUUUAUCCUGCCUCUUGGUUGUGAUGGCAUCACGAGAAGUUAAUUAUUGUGACAGCAGUCCCGGAGCAAGCCCAGAAUAGAUUCUCGUUUCUGCCGGUUUGUAGAAUGUAUUUUUGAUUUUAUGUUUUUGCUUUGCUGAAAGGAGAAAUGGAAUGAGGAACUGCCACUUCACCUCAUAGGUAUUCCAGUUGCUGCUGCUCUAUAAUGGGCAACCCAAUUGAUAUUUUUUUACUUUACUCUUGUGCCUUGUCAAUCCAAAUCAGUUCAAACGUCUGACACUAUUUACGAAAUCUAACAUCUGAACUUUUUAUUCCCAAGACAGAGAAAGGCAAAGCAAGCAGCCAUAAAAAUGUCUCACCACGAUCACCCUUAAACAAGUUUCAACAAACUCGGUAUUUACCAGGAGGUGGUUUGAAGGAUGUUGACAAACAGAAUUACAUUUCAGUUACAUAAAUGAAGUGUAGAUCAAAGGUUUCAUUCCUCAAGUCAACCAUCUGUUACACUGUCGAUGACAUCACUAACAUGAUUUCUGCCACCCACCGCAACGGCCAGGGCUCCUGUUUAUUGUGUAUCUGAAGCAGUGAUAAAGUUAUUGAAAUUCUAUGGGUGCCAAUCCCUGCAGUUCUCGCCUCUCAAAAGGAAGCACUCAACAAACCUCCAAUGACAGGAGCAGUUAAUUUCAGCAAGCAUCAACAACAACAAAGAAGUUCCAGUUAUUCUUCAAUAAUUGCUAUUUAGAAGUUUAUCUUCCCGUAGUUGCUAUCUGAUGUGGCAUGUUGUUGCAGCCUAAGCUGGUGAAAGAUUUUUUUGCAUCGAAGUUAUCCAGUGGCUGUUCCUUGUUACGGAAGUUGCAACCAAUAUUUUGUAAAUUCUGCAGUUUACCGUUUGUAUGAUAAGAAGGAACAGAAAUAUGGGAGUGUUUAUGUCGAGCAAAUAAUAAACAUUGCUUCGCGAUUGGGAAAGAAACGAGGGGGAAGUUGGGAGGUGGGUGGGAGAUGUGAUAAAUAAAAUAAAAGUUUUGUGUUUAUCAAAGAAACUGACGCGGUAAGUAGAAUGUCAGUUUCUAACCAUUAACCUUCCAAAAAUGAAAAACUCCUCAUCCCAAAGAAAUUCCUUACACCACAUUCAUAAUUAGUUGAAAGUGAAACCAUACAUAUCUAUGAAUUUUUAUUACAUCAUAACUGUUAUUACUAAA